CGGUGGAAGCUGAGCGGGACCGCAGGCAGCGCCGGGUGGGCAGGCAGGGGCCGCCAGAGUUGCAGCCCCGAGCCAAGCGGAGGCGACCGCGCAGGAGCUGCCUGGCCCGCGCUGCUGCUCGCGGCGAGGCGAGCAUUGCGAGGACCAGAUGAGAUGUUGUUGUUGUUAGCUGCCAUUGAGUCGGCCCUCUAUACAUGGUGACCCCAGGUGUUACAGAGUAGAACUGCUGCAUGGAGUUUUCUUGGCUGUAAUCUUUAUGGAAGCAGAUCACCAGGCCCUUUUUCCAUGGAGCUGCUGGAUGCAAACUGCUUGCACCACCAGGACCUAGGACCAGAUGAGGCAACGUAAAGGCAUCCGAGCUAUGAACUAGAGAGUCCCUAUCCUGCUGCUGGGUUUCCACUUGUGAGAAGAGAGACCUGAAUUCAGGAGGGCCUAGGAAAGCUGCAAACUCCACAACUUGCUAGCUUUGUGAUUUUGGGCACGUAAGUGAAGCUCUUGAAGAUCCUCAGUUUUCUCAGCUAUAAAAUGGGGAUGAUAUUCCCCCACUGUAUUUUAUUCAGUUGCUGCAAGGCUGGGAAAAAAGAAGCCCUCAAACGUGUUUAUUAAAGAACCAUAUGGAAAAUCAGGGGAUGGCUGGUUUACAUGGACCUCUGAUAUCUCCCAAGGAAGAAACCAACAGAAGAGUGAAUAGAAGUAGAGAUCAGGGAAGAGAGGUUUGAAGGAGGCUACAAUAAGGAGCCCUGGUAGUGCAGUGGUUGAGUGCUUGGCUGCUAACUGAAAGGUCAGCAUUUCGAAUCUACCAGCCGCCCUGUGGGAGAAAAGACCCAGUGAUUUGCUCCCGUAAAGAUUUACAGCUUAGAAAACCCUGUGGGGCAGUUCUACUCUGUCAUAUAGGGUCACAAUGAUUUGGAAUCGACUUGAUGGCACACAACAACAACAAUUAAAAUGGUAGAAGCAUACUAGGAAGGGAGAGUGGGACCUUUGAUACCCUAGCAUAAUUUGCUGCAAUGGUUGGGAAAGAGACUGGGAUUAGGGAGAUGUGGAGAUGGUUGACCACUAACUGAAAGGUUGGUGGUUCGAACCCACCCAGUGGUGCCAAUGAAAGAAAGGCCUGGUGAUCUUCUUUAAGAAUUACAGGAAGAAUUAGAGCCAAGAAAACUGUGGAGCAGUUCUACACUGUAACACAUGGGGUUGCCAAGAGUUGGAAUCAACUUGAUGGCAACAGAUCGGUGUGUUUAUUUUGGUUCUGAGAUGGUAUGGAACCCAAACAAAGCCCUGAGGUACUAAAAUAACAAGAGAUCCUGGAAAGUCACUCUAGGGCCCAGAGGUUAGCAUUCCUCCUCCACCCACCUUUAUGGUAGACUUUUGUAGAUGUUCUCAUUCACUUCUGGAUCCCCAAAGACUCUUUAUCUGUAGAUCUAAAGUCAUUUGUUGUGUGCUGCCCAGUCGAUUCUGACUCGUAGCCACCCUGUAUGACAAAGUAGAACUGCCCCAUAGGGUUUCCCAGGCUGUAAUCUGUACAGGAGCAGAUCUCCAGGUCUUUUCUCCUGCAGAGCCGCUGGUGUGUUCAAGCUGCCUACCUUUUGGUUAGCAGCCAUGCGCUUAACUAUUGCACCACUAGGAUGCCUUAAAGACAUUUACUCCUCAGUAAGCUUAAGAACUAUUGAAGUUGUCAAGGAUUUCAUUUUACUUGGAUCCACAAUCAAUGCCCAUGGAAGCACCAGUCAAGAAAUCAAACGAUGUAUUGCAUUGGACAAAUCUAC